rnacentral:rRNA from 1 species
GAUCCUGGCUCAGGACGAACGCUGGCGGCGUGCCUAAUACAUGCAAGUAGAACGCUGAAGGAGGAGCUUGCUUCUCCGGAUGAGUUGCGAACGGGUGAGUAACGCGUAGGUAACCUGCCUGGUAGGCGGGGGAUAACUAUUGGAAACGAUAGCUAAUACCGCAUAAUAGUAGAUGUUGCAUGACAUUUACUUAAAAGGUGCAAUUGCAUCACUACCAGAUGGACCUGCGUUGUAUUAG